GAUCCUGGCUCAGGAUGAACGCUAGCUACAGGCUUAACACAUGCAAGUCGAGGGGCAGCAUGACCUAGCAAUAGGUUGAUGGCGACCGGCGCACGGGUGAGUAACACGUAUCCAACCUACCGGUUAUUCCGGGAUAGCCUUUCGAAAGAAAGAUUAAUACCGGAUAGUAUAACGAGAAGGCAUCUUCUUGUUAUUAAAGAAUUUCGAUAACCGAGUGGGAUGUCGUUCCAUUAGUUUGUGGCGGGUACGCC
rnacentral:rRNA from 1 species